UACGUAGGUGGCGAGCGUUGUCCGGAUUUACUGGGCGUAAAGGGCGUGCAGGCGGUUUGUUAAGUGCAGUGUGAAAGCUCCCGGCUCAACUGGGAGAGGUCUUUGCAUACUGGCAAACUCGAGGGAGGCAGAGGAAAGUGGAAUUCCCGGUGUAGUGGUGAUAUGCGUAGAUAUCGGGAGGAACACCUGUGGCGAAGGCGGCUUUCUGGGCCUUACCUGACGCUGAGACGCGAAAGCGUGGGGAGCGAACCGG
rnacentral:rRNA from 1 species